rnacentral:lncRNA from 1 species
UUGAGCCAUUAGAUCCAUCAACUUGUCACUUUCUAUUUUCUUUUUCUCUACUAAAUCAUUAAUCCAAAUACAGCCUUACAAAGAGAGACGUACCUGAACAAUAGGCAAUCAUAGAACCAUAAGUAUCAGUUGGCAGACCGAGGGGAUGCCAAUUAUCAAACCAAAGAAUGGUGUCCAUGCCACACCCAACUUUGUGUUUAAACAACAGUCUAGAAGUCUAAUCUCAGAAGCCUUCUCUAAGAUGAUGCAAACAAAGUAAAAAUUGUACCU